GACGAACGCGGGCGGCGUGCUAAUACAUGCAAGUCGAACGAGAGCGACCGGUGCUUGCACUGGUCAAUCUAGUGGCGAACGGGUGAGUAACACGUGGGUAACCUGCCCAUCAGAGGGGGAUAACAUUCGGAAACGGAUGCUAAAACCGCAUAGGUCCUUUAACCGCAUGGUUGAAGGAGGAAAAGAGGCGCAAGCUUCUGCUGAUGGAUGGACCCGCGGUGCAUUAGCUAGUUGGUGAGGUAACGGCUCACCAAGGCCGUGAUGCAUAGCCGACCUGAGAGGGUGAUCGGCCACAUUGGGACUGAGACACGGCCCAAACUCCUACGGGAGGCAGCAGUAGGGAAUCUUCCGCAAUGGACGCAAGUCUGACGGAGCAACGCCGCGUGAGUGAAGAAGGUUUUCGGAUCGUAAAACUCUGUUGUUAGAGAAGAACAAGUGCUAGAGUAACUGUUAGC
rnacentral:rRNA from 1 species